CCUACGGGGGGCAGCAGUGAGGAAUAUUGGUCAAUGGACGAGAGUCUGAACCAGCCAAGUAGCGUGAGGGAAGAAGGUACAGCGUAUCGUAAACCUCUUUUGUCAGGGAACAAAGGCGGGGACUAGUCCCCGGAUGAGGGUACCUGAAGAAAAAGCAUCGGCUAACUCCGUGCCAGCAGCCGCGGUAAUACGGAGGAUGCGAGCGUUAUCCGGAUUUAUUGGGUUAAAGGGGUGCGUAGGCGGAAGGUUAAGUCAGCGGUAAAAUGUCGGUGCUCAACACCGGCCUGCCGUUGAAACUGGUCUUCUUGAGUGAGCGAGAAGUAUGCGGAAUGCGUGGUGUAGCGGUGAAAUGCAUAGAUAUCACGCAGAACUCCGAUUGCGAAGGCAGCAUACCGGCGCUCAACUGACGCUGAGGCACGAAAGCGUGGGGAUCGAACAGGAUUAGAUACCCCUGUAGUC
rnacentral:rRNA from 1 species